UUCGCCCAUUAAAGCGGUACGCGAGCUGGGUUCAGAACGUCGUGAGACAGUUCGGUCCCUAUCCGUCGUGGGCGUAGGAAAUUUGAGAGGAGCUGUCCUUAGUACGAGAGGACCGGGAUGGACGCACCGCUGGUGUACCAGUUGUUCUGCCAAGGGCAUAGCUGGGUAGCUAUGUGCGGAAGGGAUAAGUGCUGAAAGCAUCUAAGCAUGAAGCCCCCCUCAAGAUGAGAUUUCCCAUAGCGUAAGCUAGUAAGAUCCCUGAAAGAUGAUCAGGUUGAUAGGUUCGAGGUGGAAGCAUGGUGACAUGUGGAGCUGACGAAUACUAAUAGAUCGAGGACUUAACCACA
rnacentral:rRNA from 1 species